rnacentral:lncRNA from 1 species
GGACGAUGGGAUGAGUGUGUUCAAAGCAAGGGGAGGGAUCUUGAGGGAGAUUCGUUGCAAAGCAUCAUCAUUUUUCAGAUUUAAUCCUUUCCAGUAGUUUUCGGUCACACCAAGUACACAGUGGAAGCUCCUGAGGCCAAGCCCAGGUAUCCCACUGGACUUUAUUUCUCGGAGGAAAUGAAAGAAAACGUCACGAGGAUUGUGCCCAACGCUCAUUCACUUCUGGUCGCCGGGAAGCCUCUGGCUGCCCCUGCGCAGUGGAGCUGUUUGUGCCAAGCUGCAGGCCGGCCCUGGACGCUGCCCUCCACCCCCUAAGGACAAAUCCCAGCCGUAGGGGCCAGGCCCUGGCCAGUGGACACC